rnacentral:lncRNA from 1 species
UUCUGUUGGAGGCGAAGAAGCAUCCAGAAAAAAGGAAAAAGAAAUCCACCUACCAGGAUAAAAUUACAGCAGAGUAGUGGGUUUGGCUAAAGCAUCAGCUUGGAAUUCCUUUCCCCAUUGACAUGUGAAAAAGCUACUUCCCUUUCCCUCCGUAGAAUUUGAAUCUCCUCCAUGACUCCAUUACCAUGCCCAAGGGAUGGUAGAGGGUACUUGUACCAAUUGGUGGAGUCACCUUCCAAUAAUGUUGCUCGAGCUUUGAAACGCAAAAUUUAAGUGCCAUGAGUUCAG